GCCGGGGUUGCGCCCAGUCGGGGAGGGGCAUGGCGAGACCUGCCCCCCAGCUUUGUCUUAGUUACUCUGAGGCAAGGGGCUGCGCUGGGCCGGAGCAACUAUACAGUGCCUGGCCCCGCCGACCCUCAAAGUGUCCCGGCUACAUUGCAACCGCGGCGCGGGGAGAACACAGGAAAGGAGUGGUCACUGGGCCGACAAAGGGUAACUGCCAUUAUUAAGCACCCAGGCUGGCCAGGCGCCGUCACCACCCCUUCUGUCCCGCGGUGGCAGCCCAGGCACACAGGGCACAGGCAUGUGUCCUAGGAUUGUGGAAGAGGCAGCGCUGGGAUACGAACCUGGGACAUGGGGCUCUUGGCCCCCUGCGCCAGGCUGAGGAAGACGUGUGCUUGAACCAGGCUUUGAAAAUUGGGGAGGGUUUGAUGGGUGCAGGUAACGGAGCAAGCUCUGCCCUCAUGGCCGUGAGACCUCGGGAAGACGUUUGAUCUUGGUGGGCGCACUUUCCUCCUCCGUAAAAGUGGCCGCACUUAGGAAAACGAGUAACUAAUAUGUCCACCUCCUAGCAAAUUAUUGGAAGGAACAUGAGAAACCUUCUCUCUUAAAACAGAGUUAGAAGAUGAGCUGAUACCGGAUUUCUCUGCCUACGUGGUGGGCAGCAUUCCGCUGGAGCCGCUAGCUCUGUUUCCUCUAGAAGGCGUCGUCCUCUUCAGUUUGCUGGUCCUCACUGUUUACAGGAUUCAAGCGUCUGUACUCACAUCUGGCCGCUGAGAGCAGGCCUACAGGACACCCCAAGUUUCCCUGUGUCCUCUCCUGCCACCCUGAAACCUGUUCUUCACACAACAGCCUGACUCAUCUCUUAAAAUGAAAAUGGAGUAGAUGCAGCUUUCCCUAUUUCUCUUGCUAAAUACAGUUAAAAACCCUGGACACCGUAUACACAGGGACUGUAUAUGGAACAAACUUAAGAAGACUAUGAAAAGUGGAGAGAAGAGCAGAUCACAUAGGGACAUUCAGACCCAAGAAAUAAUAUGGUGGUCAGUUCCCGAGUUUUCUUUUUGCUUCACAUUUCGCAGACUGGAUCUGGAGAAGCCAGAAACCUGGAACUUGGAGACAUCAACAGGCACAGACAAAAAAAAAGAUCCUUAAACCAAAGGCCCAGGAACAGAGCAGCCUAGCAAGACAGGAAUGAAGAGGAAAUGAAGACGUUCUCAGAUGAAGGAAGACUAAGGGAAUUUGUCACCAGCAGACCUACCCCAAAAUAAUGGCUAAAGAAAGUUGUCUAAACAGAAAGGCAAUGAUAGAGAAAAUGGAGUCCUAG
rnacentral:lncRNA from 1 species